UAUGGCUAGUGGCGAACGGGUGAGUAAUGCAUAAGUAAUUUGCCCCUCAGUCUGGGAUAGCCCUUCGAAAGGGGGAUUAAUACCGGAUACUCUCUCUCUUCCGAUGGUGGAGAGAGGAAAGGUCCGCCGCUGAGGGAGAAGCUUGUGUCCGAUUAGCUAGUUGGUAGGGUAAAGGCCUACCAAGGCGAUGAUCGGUAGCUGGUCUGAGAGGAUGAUCAGCCACACUGGGACUGAGACACGGCCCAGACUCC
rnacentral:rRNA from 1 species